GCUGAACCUGUUAUUCUGGACUUGAGAGAUCUCUUUCAACUCAUUUAUGAACUGAAGCAAAGAGAAGAGUUGGAAAAAAAGGCACAAAAGGAUAAGCAGUGUGAGCAAGCUGUGUACCAGACAAUUUUGGAAGAGGAUGUUGAAGAUCCCGUGUACCAGUACAUUGUGUUUGAGGCCGGACAUGAGCCAAUCCGUGAUCCUGAAACAGAAGAAAACAUUUACCAGGUUCCCACCAGCCAAAAGAAGGAAGGUGUUUAUGAUGUGCCAAAAAGUCAACCUGUAAGUG